GAUGAACGCUGGCGGCGUGCCUAAUACAUGCAAGUCGAGCGAACAGACGAGGAGCUUGCUCCUCUGACGUUAGCGGCGGACGGGUGAGUAACACGUGGAUAACCUACCUAUAAGACUGGGAUAACUUCGGGAAACCGGAGCUAAUACCGGAUAUUAGAUUGAACGGCAUGGUUCAAUAGUGAAAGACGGUUUUGCUGUCACUUAUAGAUGGAUCCGCGCCGCAUUAGCUAGUUGGUAAGGUAACGGCUUACCAAGGCAACGAUGCGUAGCCGACCUGAGAGGGUGAUCGGCCACACUGGAACUGAGACACGGUCCAGACUCCUACGGGAGGCAGCAGUAGGGAAUCUUCCGCAAUGGGCGAAAGCCUGACGGAGCAACGCCGCGUGAGUGAUGAAGGUCUUCGGAUCGUAAAACUCUGUUAUUAGGGAAGAACAAAUGUGUAAGUAACUAUGCACGUCUUGACGGUACCUAAUCAGAAAGCCACGGCUAACUACGUG
rnacentral:rRNA from 1 species